UACGUAGGGGGCAAGCGUUGUCCGGAAUCAUUGGGCGUAAAGAGCGCGUAGGCGGUCCGUUAAGUCGGCUGUGAAAGCCCAGGGCUCAACCCUGGGAUGCCGGUCGAUACUGCCGGACUAGAGUUCGGAAGAGGCGAGUGGAAUUCCCGGUGUAGCGGUGAAAUGCGCAGAUAUCGGGAGGAACACCUAUGGCGAAGGCAGCUCGCUGGGACGUUACUGACGCUGAGACGCGAAAGCGUGGGGAGCAAACAGG
rnacentral:rRNA from 1 species